rnacentral:lncRNA from 1 species
UUUUCAGCCUCAGGGAGCUCUAGUGGAGAGACAAGAUUCGUGCAUGAAAUAAUUACGACUGUUGUAGAAAAAAGAAAAGCCUGUAGGUCUCCCUUCCUCCCUCCUUCUCUCUGUCUACCUCAGCAUUUCUGGGGUUCACUCUGCUCUGGGUACUGUGUAAAGGACUCCACAGCCAUCAACUUCCCUUCAUCCUUGCCGUGUCUUUGAAAGAGCUGAGAUUUCUUUACAUCACAGUGGUUCAAGGAGAAAAACACAGCCAGAUCCUUCCUCAUCUCAACAUAAAUUAAACCCAGAGGCAGUCAGCGCCACAGUCCACACUCGUAACCGUUACACUCACCUGGAAAUAAAAGUAUUUUUGUGCGGGGACUGCAAGGACUAAGCCCGGCCGCACUCCGAGUUUCUCCUCCUCACAGCCUAGGGAUCAGCCUCCUUGUUUCAGAUGCGGAGAUAAGAGCCCAGAGAGGUUAAGUGGCCCAGCCAAGAUCACACAGCACAGUGGCAGCCAAAGAGAGAUAGGGGCUGAGGCUCAGAGAGGGCAAGUGACCUGCCCAAAGUCACACAGCCGUGACUCAUUGCUCAGGUGAGGAAACUGAGGCUCAGAGAGGGUCCGUGGCAUGUCCAAGGUUACUCUGCUGUUAAUUGUUUUCUUGGCACUCUCUCCCUUCUCACCUGUGACUACCUGAGUGUCCCCAGAGGCAAGGAACUAUGUGAGCCACUCCAGUGUUCCCAGCCCCAAGGCCAGGCACAGUGGACAUUUAUUGCUGAAUGAAUGAAUCAAGAGAGAGGAUCAGAAAGCUGCAGAGGAUGAUAGAUCUGCAAAAUUCUCCCUGGGUGAGGCCCAGGCUCAGCUUCCAGAACAGCUCCAUCUGUCUCCCACUCACUGAGAUUGAACUAAUGUCCCACAGUUGGACAGACCUGAAAUUGAGCUCUGUGAUUUUGGAUGUGCCUUUUGCCUUCCACGGUGAUUGUGAGGCCUCUCAAGCCACGUGGAACUAUGGAGUCUCAAUAUGCUGCCCAGGCUGGAGUGUGGUGGUGCCAACAUAGCUCAUUGCAGCCUUGAACACCCAGGCUCAAGUGAUCCUCCUAUCUCAGCCUCCCAAGUAGCUGGGACUACAGGUGCUCCAUUAAAUCAGGAACCUUGUUGCUUCUGGUAUCUGGGGUGUCCCACCGCUACCCCCAUGUGAGUGCCUGGCACAUAUAGAUACUUGAUACCUGCUUGCUGAAUAAAUGAAUAAGUGCAACUUGACUGGAUGAUGAGAGGCACAGCUGAGUCCGGAGCAGACUGAGCCACCUAAGAGGGGAGGAACCGCUGCAGAGAAACCGUGUUAAGCCUUUUUGAAGUUCCAGAGGGAGAACAAGAGAGCGGAGGCUCCUGGUGGCUGGUGACAGGUGCUGAUUUGUUCUGGGGAAAGAGCACAGAAAAGUGCCUGGAGAGGAGGCGGGGCCAAAAUGGGAUGUAGGCGAUGGGAAGGACCCUCAAGACACAGUCCUGGGCUCCCAGGCAGGACCAACCCCCAAACCUGUCCCCCCAGGAGCCUGCAGAGCCACUGCCCUGACAGGGGACACCUCACUUCCUCUCCUUGCAGCUGCUCUUGGCUGGGAGAGCAGAGAACAGGGGACAGGAGAGAAGCCCCGAGAGUACUGAAGCUGAGGCUGGGGCGGUCUUCACUUCCCUCUUUCCUCGGCCCUUUUCCUGUUCUCUUGUCUUGUCUCUCUUUCUCUACUUUCCUUCUCCCUAGCCCAGUCUCUCACCGCUCUUCAGCCUCUGGGCCUUUCCUUCUUCCUCUCUUGCCCUCAUUCUUCCUUCUCUGUCCCUCUUGUCUUCUCUUUUACCUCUUCUCUUCUUCCCUCCUUCCUACAGCUAUGCCCUCUUCCCUCCUUUCUCUUGUCCCCAACCAGGGCAUUAGAAAUGCAUUCCAGUUACACUGAUCUGAUCACUGCAUAUUGUAUGCAUGCAUCAAAAUAUCACAUGUACCCCAGAAAUAUGUAAAUUACUGCAUAUCAAUAAAAAGAAAUGUAGCUUCUUUGCCUCACAUACAGAAAAGCCAAUCUGAAGUAUAAAUAAAUAAACAAACAAAUAAAUAAAACGAACCACACUGGCCCCCCCGCCGCCUCCCAGCCAUCAUCUGGGCCUGCCACUAUUUGCUCAGGGUAUCUAAACAUCAGCCAAAAUCAAAGAAAAAGUUUUAAAAUCUAUUGUUAAAAAUUUCCAAGGCUAAGUUGACAUGCAUGUACAAUAGCAUUUCCCAAACUGUGACUUAAUAAACUCCAAGCCUUCAAGUUGGGAGAGGUGGUUCCAUGAUACCGUUAAAAGCACAGACUGAAGCCCAUCUGCCUGGGUUUAAAUCCUUGCUCUGCAGCAUGAUAGUUAUGUGACCUUGGGCAAGGGCUUAAGUCGUUCUGUGCUGCAGUUUCCCUCUCUGCAAAUGGUAAUAAUAAUAAUACCUGCUUCAUAAGUUGUUAUAAAGAUUAAUUGCCUUAAAAUGGAAAGAUCUUAGGACAAUUCCUGGCUCUUAAUAAGUGCUCUAUAAGUGUUAGUGAUUCCUAGAAGCAUUGCAUGAAAGGAAGUUUGAAAAACACUGAAUACUUCUUGGCUGCCAUCUUGAAAAUAACACAAUAGCACAUUAGAGGGUCCAGAAGUCCUACAGCAAAAGACCUGUAUGACUCUGUUUACCUUAGUAAUCCUCAAACUUAUUUUUACUAUAGUACUCCCAAUCUCUUCUUUUAUGCACCAAACACCUGUCUCUGAGGACACUCUCACUUUUUGAGUGGAUCACAGUUUGAGAACUGCUGAUUUGGGAUUAUUCACUGUUUGAAGACCAUGUUGAGUGAGGUAGAGCGAGAAAGCAUUAUCUGAGUCAUCAGGAAGAUGUAGGGUCAAAUGCGAGCUUUACCCUCCCCAGGCACAGGGCCCAGGAAGUGUGUGGGCAGUCCCCAAGAGGAGAAAAGGCUUGCCCAAGGCCACACAGCCAGUUAGGGUGAGACUCAAGAUUAUUACACAGGAUUUCCAAACCUAGACCUUUCCAUCUCCCUCCUCUUCCUCAUUAUCAAAUAAAGGCAGGAGGUCUUUGUGUUGUUGCUGCUAGAGGACAGUCCCUCCUCAUCUGCUCCCUCCCUGGUUGGCUUUUCAUGCCUUUCGGGAGCUGGGCUGCAGUGCUCACCCCAGAGCACAUGCUUUUCUCCCAAUCAGAGAGAGGGAGGAGGCGAGAUGUCCUCAGUUUCCCACCCACAAGAAGAAGAAAAAAGAAAAAAAGAAAAAGAAAAGUAAAAGAGCUAAGGCAUUUUUUUUUAAAAAAGCUCCCCACAUACGCAGAGUGACCAAGUAGAAUCCUUUUGAGAGAGGACUUGUGUGCCCUGUCCCUGGUGCUGAAACAUGGCUGGGCACCUGGGCAGUGGUCUCCAACCCCGGCACUGGCUGGAAGGGCUGCUGCAGAAUCUUCUGUGGGAAUGGACGGGAGAUUUCCACUUAAUUCUGUGAUUUCAAGGUCUCGCAUCUCACCUGUUGGAUCAGAAUCCCCUGGGGUGGGCACCUGCCUUCCAUGUGUUCGAAAAUCUCCUGAGGAGGGUGAUUUGGGACCCCACUACCUUGGGGAGCAUUUAUGUAACCCAACCCUGGUCCACCUCUCUCAUGGAUCAUUGUUUGUCAGUGAUAUUAUUUUGUGAUUUUCUGAAAAAAAUUGUAAUUUUGAUACUCUUGCAGGAAAGAAAACUCCAUGAUAUAUUUUUACUAUUAAUGGAGCAGAUUUUAUGGCCGGUUGACAGUUCUAUUAUUUUUAUGGCAGUAGCAAUUUUUUUCUACUCUGGGGGCUUUAGGAUGCAUAUUCCUAGUGAAUCCACAUUUGUGGUCCUCUGGAGUCCACAGGAGCUAAAUGAGGCUAUUCCCUCCCCAUUCCUUCUUUUGGCCUGCAGGUCUUGUGGUUUACAGAGCUGGAAUGGUCUUAAUUAUGUUCGCGUGUUCUCUGUCUCCAUGUUGCACUGCUCCAGGCAGAGAUGAGAAGCUUCUGCUGUGGUAUUUGUUCUUUCAGGCACUUCUCUUUUCCCCUGGGAUCCUCAGGAAAACCCUCCUUGGUGGAGAAACAGUUGCAUUGGGCAUCCUGCCAAGAAAGAUGCCGGCGAGAUGGGGCCAGAGAGCUUCAUUAGCCCGUGACGAGGCCCCUGGGCUCUAAUACUGGGGAGGAGGGUGGAU